rnacentral:rRNA from 1 species
UACGUAGGUGACGAGCGUUAUCCGGAAUUAUUGGGCGUAAAGCGCCCGCAGGCGGCUUAUCAAGUCUGACGUGAAAUCGCUCAGCUUAACUGGGCGCGGUCGUUGGAAACUGAUAGGCUUGAGGCAAGGAGAGGGGUGUGGAAUUCCUGGUGUAGCGGUGGAAUGCGCAGAUAUCAGGAGGAACACCGAUGGCGAAGGCAGCUUGCUGGGACGGUACUGACGCUGAGACGCGAAAGCGUGGGGAGCAAACAGG